AUUGAACGCUGGCGGCAGGCUUAACACAUGCAAGUCGAACGAGGGCCGGCAGGGUGAGUAAUUCUUGGGCCUCUAGCUUAUGGAGGGGGAUAACUACGGGAAACUGUAGCUAAUACCGCGUACCGUAGGAUGAGCCCAAGUGGGAUUAGGUAGUUGGUGGGGUAAAGGCUCACAAAGCCGACGAUCUCUAGCUGGUCUGAGAGGAUGACCAGCCACACUGGGCCUGAGACACGGCCCAGACGCCUACGGGAGGCAGCAGUGGGGAAUAUUGCGCAAUGGGGGCAACCUGACGCAGCCAUGCAGCGUGAAUGAAGAAGGCCUUCGGGUUGUAAAGUUCUGUCGGUAGCGAGGCGGUAACUACAGAAGAAGCACCGGCUAACUCCGUGCCAGCAGCCGCGGUAAUAC
rnacentral:rRNA from 1 species